CAGUUUCUCAGUUAAAUUCUUGAUGACUUAACAACUUUUACUAUCAGAAUACAAUUAGAAAUCCUUGGUCAGGUGAUCCACCGGCCUUGGCCUCCCAAAGUGUUGGGAUUAGAGGCAUGAGCCACUGCGCCCAGCCAAAUAGCAUAUUUAUUAUUUUAUUUUGGGUGGACCUCAUGAGAGCCACCUAUAUCUUAUAUAACAAUUAAAAAUAUUUACUUCUAGUUUAUGUUACAGGUUAUAGUAUUAUCUCUGCCUUUUUUUGUAUCAGGAACAUGCUUAUACAGUAUGCUUUAUGUAAAAUAAUUAUCUGUAUCCCUACAAGUAUUUGCUGAUAUUAAAUAUUUUUGAUGACUGGGCAUAGUGGCUCACAUCUGUAAUCUCAGCAUUUUGGGAGGCUAAGGCCAGAGGAUUGCUUAAGGCUAGGAGUUUGAGCCAGCCUUUGCAAUAUAGUGAGACCCCAAUUUUUGUCUAUACAAAAAAUUUAAAAAAUUAACUGAGUAUGGUGGUGCACACUGGUGGUAUCAGCUACUGGGGAGGCUAAGGCAGGGGUUUGGCGGGGAUUACUUGAGCCCAGUGGUUUGAGGCCACAGUGAGCUAUGGUUGUGCCAUUGCACUCCAACCUGCGUGACAGAGUGAGACCUUACCUCAAAAAAUAAAUAUUUUUGGUUUUCCUUAGCAUCAAUGUCUACAAGAAAAUGCUAGGUUUCUUUUAAAAAAUGCCUUAUUCCUUGUUUUAAAAGUAAGAGAUUAAAUCAAGAAUAACAGGAUUCAGUAAUCCCCCACUUCUCUCAGAGAUAGAUUGAGGGGAGUUGAUAAAGGAACAAGGGAACUCCAGAGAUGAGGAAAUAAUAGUGGGUAUAGUCAUUAUGGUAAUAGCAAAUGAGAUACCCCUUCACCCAAUUCCAUAAUAUCAGUAGGGUCUUUUUGACUUCUGAGAAUAAGUCCCUAGUUACCUGCCCUGAAAGAUGUCAUUAUGUUUUUAAAACCAGAUAUGUAUACAUAGAUAAAUCAUAUGCUUGCCUUGAUUUUGGUAAAAUUUAAACCACUUUUUAAAUCUUUGGUGCAUUUUAAAAACAUUUUAUGAAACAGAUGCAGACCUUGGAUUCUGAUUGUUGAGAUACCAUGUCAGUAAUUGUAUUAGUUUCCUAUGGCUGUUAUAGUAAACCACAAAUUUAGUAGAUUAAAACAAUAUAAA
rnacentral:lncRNA from 1 species